rnacentral:rRNA from 1 species
UACGGAGGGGACUAGCGUUGUUCGGAAUUACUGAGCGUAAAGCGCACGUAGGCGGAUUUGUAAGUCAGGGGUGAAAUCCCGGGGCUCAACCUCGGAACUGCCUUUGAUACUGCAAAUCUCGAGUCCGGAAGAGGUGAGUGGAAUUCCUAGUGUAGAGGUGAAAUUCGUAGAUAUUAGGAAGAACACCGGUGGCGAAGGCGGGUCUCUGGGCCGAUACUGACGCUGAGGAGCGAAAGCGUGGGGAGCAAACAGG